rnacentral:rRNA from 1 species
GGGUCAGUAGGUUGGUCGUGCCACCGGUACGUACUGGUCUCACUGAUUCCUCCUUCCUGAAGAACCGUAAUGCCAUUAAUUUGGUGUUGCGGGGAAACAGGACUGUUACUUUGAAAAAAUUAGAGUGUUUAAAGCAAGCUAACGCUUGAAUACAUUAGCAUGGGAUAAUGAAAUAGGACGAUCAAUCCUAUUUUGUUGGUUUCUAGGAUUGACGUA